rnacentral:tRNA from 1 species
CAAUAGUAUAGCUGGUUAGUAUCUUCGCUGUCACGUGAAAGACCGGGGUUCGAAUCCCCGUUGGAGAG